rnacentral:tRNA from 1 species
GGUCCAAUAGCUCAGUUUGGUUAGAGCAUUUGACUCAUAAUCAAAGUGUCACAGGUCCGAAUCCUGUUUGGACCA